UGAUUAAUUUAAUGGCCGCAGUAUUUUGACUGUGCAAAGGUAGCAUAAUCAUUAGUUUUUUAAUUGAAAGCUGGUAUGAAUGGCUAUAUGAGAAAAAAGCUGUCUUUAUUUAAUUUUAAUAGAAUUUUAUUUUUAAGUUAAAAAGCUUAAAUUCUUUUUAAAGACGAGAAGACCCUAUAGAGUUUUAUAAAUUAUUUAUUUUAAUAAUUUUAAGUAUUUAUUUUUUAUUAUAUAUAAUUUAUUUUGUUGGGGUGACAUAAAAAUUGAAUUAACUUUUUAUAUUUAAACAUUUGUUUAUGAUUAUUUGAUCCAAUAUUUUUGAUUAUAAGAUUAAAUUACCUUAGGGAUAACAGCGUAAUUUUUUUGGAGAGUUCUUAUCGAUAAAAAAGUUUGCGACCUCGAUGUUGGAUUAAAAUUUAUAGUUGGUGCAGUAGUUAACUUAUUAGGUCUGUUCGACCUUUAAAAUUUUACAUGAUCUGAGUUUAAACCGGCGUAAGCCAGGUUGGUUUCUAUCUUGAAUUAAUAUUUAUUGUUUUAGUACGAAAGGACCAAACUUUAAUAAAAUUUAUUUUGUUUUAGAAUAUAAUUGUUACUUUGGCAGAUUAGUGCAUUAAAUUUAGAAUUUAAUUAUGUAUAUAGAUACAAGUAAUACUUGAUUUUGUUAGAUUAUUUAUUAAUUUUAAUUAGAACUUUAAUUUUGGUUAUUUUAGUUUUAGUAGGAGUG
rnacentral:rRNA from 1 species